rnacentral:rRNA from 1 species
CCCGCCCCCCCUCCCCGGGGGGGUGGCCAGCGCCCGCCAGAGGACCAUCAAACUCCAGUCAGUAAACGAUGCAGUCUGAAAAACAUUUAAUAAACUAAAACUUUCAACAACGGAUCUCUUGGUUCUGGCAUCGAUGAAGAACGCAGCGAAAUGCGAUAAGUAAUGUGAAUUGCAGAAUUCAGUGAAUCAUCGAAUCUUUGAACGCACAUUGCGCCCUUUGGUAUUCCGAAGGGGCAUGCCUGUUCGAGCGUCAUUACAACCCUCAAGCUCUGCUUGGUAUUGGGCACCGUCCUUUGCGGGCGCGCCUCAAAGACCUCGGCGGUGGCGUCUUGCCUCAAGCGUAGUAGAACAUACAUCUCGCUUCGGAGCGCAGGGCGUCGCCCGCCGGACGAACCUUCUGAACUUUUCUCAAGGUUGACCUCGGAUUCAGGUAGGAUACCAGCUAACUUAC